GCGCGCGCAGCGGCCGGAGCGCCCAGCUCGCCGGGCCCCACCGGUCCCGCCGCGGCUAGAACCUGGGAACGGGGCGCAAGGUUGCCCUGGUUGAGGCCAGUUUCCUGUCUGUGCGUGGAGUGGAAGGAGCGCGCCGGGUGAGUCCAGAGCUCCGGGGAGCGGGCAGGGGAAGAGUGUGUAAAGUUCCAGCCGACUACACGGGCUUAACCUUCUGCUGAGAGACCAUCCUGGAAGACUGGAAACUCUUCAUCAAAACAUCUCUUGUCUUUUUUAAUGUAAUUAAACAAAAUUAUUUAAGAAAUGUUUCGGCUUCCCUCCCAGUGUAUGCUCCAUUACUUUGUAGCUACA